rnacentral:lncRNA from 1 species
GUCUGUUGGUUUACCAACAAAAAAACCCAGCCGCCUGGCUGUUGGGUUUCUCAAAAGCAUAUGAAUUGAAAAUGAAAAAGAAUAUUUAUUAAACUUGGGAAGUUAAAAAUGAAAACUUAGGAAGUUUAAAAACAUAAAUUUUUUUAUGGUUUCAAUGCUUAUCUCUGUUUAAAAAUAAAUUAAAAAAAAGAAAAAAAGAAAUGGAAACCAUCGUCCUCGUUCUCUCCCAAACGCGUACCCACUCUCAAUCUCUCUUCUCUCAAUCUCUCGAAGCUCUCAAUGAAAUCGCUCCCUCAUCGCUCUCUCAAUCUCCAAUCUCACUCAAUCGCUCAAUUAAUCUCGCGUUCAACCCUCUCCAACG